ensembl:lncRNA
CUCCCUUUACCGUGACACCAAAAGCCAUCUUUGAAUUCUAUGUGCUCCUCAGUUGUGUCUUAAGGUUCACUUUGCACAACAGCUGUUUCCUUUGAGAAAUAUUGUGUGUUAAGGGACAUUGCCAAAAAACAUUACUUUACAUGCACAUUCACAUUAAAAACCUUAUUAAAUCUGCUAACGUAAGGAGGCAAAAACCUAGGAAAUGUCAGGACUAAUGCUAUCUGUGUUACCCUAAAUCUGUCCUUUCUCCACGUGCAUCGUGCCUGCAAUCUUUAAUAACAUCAUCACCCAAUUUAUUUUCUCCCCAGGGGCUCCUGUCUCAUUCAGUGUCCUCUGCUGGAUGCUCCUCCUCCAGCUGCCCCUUCCUCGGCCCUCUCUGAGCUCACUGCACAGCCAAACAUCUGCAUAUUUUCCACAGGAAUAACAAGUGGAAAUUAUCUCAUGCAGUGGUCAUGCCCUUUCCUGAAUUUAAAGCCAUAUUUAGUAAGAGAGCAUUAGAGCUUCUCCAUGUUUUAUAAUUCUUUUAAAUAAGUGGAAGGCAGUCUUUUCUUAGAAGCCACAGAUCUCAGCUGAAGCUAAAGCAAAUCCAUCGCAUGGGCUAUUUCACCCUUGAUUGCAACUUCAGAAGUCAAAAGCAAAAAACAAACAAACAAACAAACAAACAAAAAGCCAGUGUCAAAAAAAGGCAAAUGUUGAAAACGUUCAUCUUGAUGACACAAUUGGCUUUACUUAUCCUGCAGCUCACAUUUUCAUAUGGCCACCUGGGAUUUUUUCAGUGGCCUUGCUGGAGAGAAACGAGACACUGGGGGUCAGGUGCUGCCACUGGUCCCUAUAUAAGAUGCCCACUUAAGGUCGAGGGGAGCACUUCUGGCCUCCUACCUUUUAGAGAUUCAUAGAAUCACUAAGGUUGGAAAAGACCACUAAGAUCAUCUAGUCCAACCAUCAACUCAUCAGCAGCUCAUCCAUCACCACUCCUUCCCACCAGGGAAUCCCUUGGUGCUGCCCACGUUGGGCACCUGGAGAUCUGUCCAGGCUGAGAGGGCCCCAUGCAGAGCAG